CUGUUUCCUUGAGCAGCACAUGUCCUGAAAAUGGAAUGUGACAUAUAAGAAGAGCAUGGAGCUAGCAUAAGGAUGACUUGUAAACUGCUGAAGCAUAUCAUAUUUUU
rnacentral:snRNA from 1 species